rnacentral:rRNA from 1 species
AGAGUUUGAUCCUGGCUCAGGAUGAACGCUAGCGACAGGCUUAACACAUGCAAGUCGAGGGGCAGCAUGAGGUAGCAAUACCUUGAUGGCGACCGGCGCACGGGUGAGUAACGCGUAUGCAACCUGCCCGAUACCGGGGUAUAGCCCAUGGAAACGUGGAUUAACACCCCAUAGUACUUUUAUCCUGCCUGGGAUGGGAGUUAAAUGUUCAAGGUAUCGGAUGGGCAUGCGUCCUAUUAGUUAGUUGGCGGGGUAACAGCCCACCAAGACGAUGAUAGGUAGGGGUUCUGAGAGGAAGGUCCCCCACAUUGGAACUGAGACACGGUCCAAACUCCUACGGGAGGCAGCAGUGAGGAAUAUUGGUCAAUGGACGAGAGUCUGAACCAGCCAAGUCGCGUGAGGGAAGACUGCCCUAUGGGUUGUAAACCUCUUUUAUAAGGGAAGAAUAAGUUCUACGUGUAGAAUGAUGCCUGUACCUUAUGAAUAAGCAUCGGCUAACUCCGUGCCAGCAGCCGCGGUAAUACGGAGGAUGCGAGCGUUAUCCGGAUUUAUUGGGUUUAAAGGGUGCGUAGGCGGUUUAUUAAGUUAGUGGUUAAAUAUUUGAGCUAAACUCAAUUGUGCCAUUAAUACUGGUAAACUGGAGUACAGACGAGGUAGGCGGAAUAAGUUAAGUAGCGGUGAAAUGCAUAGAUAUAACUUAGAACUCCGAUAGCGAAGGCAGCUUACCAGACUGUAACUGACGCUGAUGCACGAGAGCGUGGGUAGCGAACAGGAUUAGAUACCCUGGUAGUCCACGCCGUAAACGAUGCUCACUGGUUCUGUGCGAUAUAUUGUACGGGAUUAAGCGAAAGUAUUAAGUGAGCCACCUGGGGAGUACGUCGGCAACGAUGAAACUCAAAGGAAUUGACGGGGGCCCGCACAAGCGGAGGAACAUGUG